AACGUAGGAGGCAAACGUUAUCCGGAGUUACUGGGCGUAAAGGGCGCGUAGGCGGCCUCUUAAGUCGAACGUGAAAUCCCCGGGCUCAACCCGGGAACUGCGUCCGAUACUGGGAGGCUUGAAUCCGGGAGAGGGAUGUGGAAUUCCAGGUGUAGCGGUGAGAUGCGUAGAUAUCUGGAGGAACACCGGUGGCGAAGGCGGCAUCCUGGACCGGUAUUGACGCUGAGGCGCGAAAGCCAGGGGAGCAAACGGG
rnacentral:rRNA from 1 species